GGGGUUGUGGCUCAGUGGUAGAGCACUCGCUUAGUACACGUGAGGCACUGGGUUCUAUUCUCAGCACCACA
rnacentral:tRNA from 1 species